rnacentral:rRNA from 1 species
GACGAACGCUGGCGGCGUGCUUAACACAUGCAAGUCGAGCGGAGCGGCGAACGGGUGAGUAACGCGUGAGUAACUGCCCCCCUCUCUGGGAUCACAGUUGGAAACGGCUGCUCAUACCGGCUAGUGGGGGAUGACUCGCGUCCUAUUAGCUUGUUGGUGGGGUAGUGGCCUACCAAGGGGACGCCGGGUAGCCGGCCUGAGAGGGCGGCCGGCCACAUUGGUCUGCGAGAGGGCGCAAACUCCUACGGGAGGCAGCAGUGGGGAAUAUUGCACAAUGGGGGAAACCCUGAUGCAGCAACGCGCGUGCGGGAUGACGGCCUUCGGGUUGUAAACCGCGUUCAGCCAUGACGCGGUAGUGGCAGAAGAAGCACCGGCUAACUACGUGCCAGCAGCCGCGGUAAUUC